UACGGAGGGUGCGAGCGUUGUUCGGAAUCACUGGGCGUAAAGCGCGUGUAGGCGGCUUCUUAAGUCCGAUGUGAAAGCCCGGGGCUCACCCCCGGAAGUGCAUUGGAUACUGGGAAGCUGGAGUACCGGAGAGGAGGGUGGAAUUCCUGGUGUAGCGGUGAAAUGCUUAGAUAUCGUCAAGAACACCGAUAGUGAAGACAGCUUACUAAACUUUAACUGACGCUGAGGCACGAAAGUGUGGGGAUCAAACAGG
rnacentral:rRNA from 1 species